UCCUGCCAGUAGUGUACGCUUCUCCUAAAGACUAAGCCAUGCAUGCUUUCGAAUACGAGGUAGCAAUACUCUCUGAAUCUGCGAACGGCUCCGCACACCAGUUGUAAACUAUAGCAAGCAUGUCCGGAUCCCCCUCACGGGGGAGCUGGGCGAUAAGGAUAACCCUGGUAAUUCUGAGGCUAAUACUAGACCAUACAACUCGACUGACCGGGCAACUGGGAGGUCGGGGGGCGUGUGUUUUGCCGCAAGAUGCGCCGGGAAAGGAUGCACGUUCUGACCGCGACAAAAACGUGCUGGUUUCCAGCACGAGCGGCUCUUGCAAUGUGCUUCUGACCUAUCAACUAGAUGGCAGCGUAACGGACAUGCUAUGGUUGCAACGGGUACAGAGGAUUAGGGUUCGAUCCUGGAGAGUGGGCCUGAGAGAUUGCUCACACUUCUAAGGAAGGCAGCAGGCGCGCAACGUUCCCAUUGGACAAAGUCCGAGGGCGUUAGGGGAAAUAUGAAUGCUUGCCAUUGGUAGGCAAUUCAAAUGGGUCUGUUCUAAACAGCCUAUCGAGUAACAA
rnacentral:rRNA from 1 species